rnacentral:rRNA from 1 species
GGGGAGCUAGCGUUAUUCGGAAUUACUGGGCGUAAAGCGCGCGUAGGCGGUUUUUCAAGUCAGGGGUGAAAGCCCGGAGCUCAACUCCGGAAUAGCCUUUGAAACUGGAGGACUUGAAUCUUGGAGAGGUCAGUGGAAUUCCGAGUGUAGAGGUGAAAUUCGUAGAUAUUCGGAAGAACACCAGUGGCGAAGGCGACUGACUGGACAAGUAUUGACGCUGAGGUGCGAAAGCGUGGGGAGCAA